AUUGAACGCUGGCGGCAGGCUUAACACAUGCAAGUCGAACGAGUGGCGGACGGGUGAGUAAUGCUUGGGAAUCUAGCUUAUGGAGGGGGAUAACUACGGGAACCAGUAGCUAAUACCGCGUACCAUAGGAUGGGCCCAAGUGGGAUUAGGUAGUUGGUGGGGUAAAGGCCCACCAAGCCGACGAUCUCUAGCUGGUCUGAGAGGCGGACAAGCCACACGGGGACGGGGACACGGCCAAGACUCCUACGGGAGGCAGCAGUGGGGAAUUGUGGACAAUGGGCGCAAGCCUGAUCCAGCCAUGCCGCGUGUCUGAAGAAGGCCUUCGGGUUGUAAAGGACUUUUGUCAGGGAAGCGGUACCUGAAGAAUAAGCACCGGCUAACUACGUGCCAGCAGCCGCGGUAAUAC
rnacentral:rRNA from 1 species